UAAAGUGGACAGGGAGGGUUUGUCAGUUUAAAGCAGAUGUCAAGACAAUUUGAUCAAGGCAAUUUUGACAAUAAAAGACUGGUAUGUAGGUAGAUCAUUGAGUUUACACACAUGUACUGUUUUGAUAGGAGUGCAUGGAGGAUGGGUGCAGCUUGGACAUACUGACUAUCGACAACACUUAAUACUUCCUAUGCAAUAAAUGGAAGCAGAAUACAACCUGAUCCACUGUUGCGCAUUAUACUGACAGUGAAGGCAACUUCUGACUGCAAGGGCACUCACUAUAGCUGACCAAUCAAAGUGACAAGAUCUUUCUGAAAUAACUGCUUAUCUACAUGUACUGAUGACUGGAUUUUUUGAUAGACCACACAGUCAUCAGCAAAAA
rnacentral:lncRNA from 1 species